rnacentral:rRNA from 1 species
UGGGGAAUAUUGCGCAAUGGAGGAAACUCUGACGCAGCGACGCCGCGUGGGUGAAGAAGGCCUUAGGGUUGUAAAGCCCUUUCAGUGGGAAAGAUGAUGACGGUACCCACAGAAGAAGCCCCGGCUAACUCCGUGCCAGCAGCCGCGGUAAUACGGAGGGGGCCAGCGUUGUUCGGAAUUACUGGGCGUAAAGGGCGCGUAGGCGGUUGAUCAAGUCAGGAGUGAAAUCCUCGGGCUUAACCCGGGAACUGCUCCUGAAACUGGUCGACUGGAGUACGGUAGAGGAUGGUGGAAUUCCCCGUGUAGAGGUGAAAUUCGUAGAUAUGGGGAGGAAGACCGGAGGCGAAGGCGGCCAUCUGGACCGAAACUGACGCUAAGGCGCGAAAGCGUGGGGAGCAAA